rnacentral:lncRNA from 1 species
CUACAAAAGCGCGCCGAGUCUUCCUGUCCACCCAGUCGCCCCACAUGUCAGCGGUUGGUCGCCUCGCGGUGCAGCGCUGGGCACGCGAGCCCCUCCCGCAGCCAUUCGCAGCACAAGCACCACCCGCAGCGACAGAGCUAAGAGCCCCCACGCCGCAGAGGUCGCGCGGAGCAGAUUUGAUGGAGUGA